rnacentral:rRNA from 1 species
UACGUAGGGUGCAAGCGGUGUCCGGAAUUAUUGGGCGUAAAGAGCUCGUAGGCGGUCUGUCGCGUCGGCUGUGAAAUCCCGAGGCUCAACCUCGGGUCUGCAGUCGAUACGGGCAAACUGGAGUGUUGCAGGGGAGACUGGAAUUCCUGGUGUAGCGGUGAAAUGCGCAGAUAUCAGGAGGAACACCGGUGGCGAAGGCGGGUCUCUGGGCAACAACUGACGCUGAGGAGCGAAAGCGUGGGGAGCGAACAGG